rnacentral:rRNA from 1 species
UACGGAGGGGGCAAGCGGUAUUCGGAAUCAUUGGGCGUAAAGGGCGCGUAGGCGGCUUGGCAAGUCGAAGGUGAAAUCCCCCGGCUCAACUGGGGAACUGCCUUCGAAACUGCCAGGCUAGAGUCCGGGAGAGGGUAGUGGAAUUCCCAGUGUAGCGGUGAAAUGCGUAGAUACUGGGAGGAACACCAGUGGCGAAGGCGGCUACCUGGACCGGUACUGACGCUGAGGCGCGAAAGCGUGGGGAGCAAACAGG